rnacentral:siRNA from 1 species
GAAGGCCUUGCGACGAACCUCA